rnacentral:rRNA from 1 species
GUCCAUAGCCAUGCCACCCUGAAUGUGCUCGAUCUCGUCUGAUCUUGGAAGCUAAGCAGGGUCGUGCCUCAUUAGUACUUGGAUGGGAGACCACCUAGGAAGACCAAAUGCUGAAGGUU